rnacentral:rRNA from 1 species
UACGUAGGGGGCAAGCGUUGUCCGGAAUCAUUGGGCGUAAAGAGCGCGUAGGCGGUCCGAUAAGUCGGUUGUGAAAACUGGGGGCUCAACCCUCAGAGGCCGACCGAUACUGUCGGGCUAGAGUCCGGAAGAGGCGAGUGGAAUUCCUGGUGUAGCGGUGAAAUGCGCAGAUAUCAGGAAGAACACCCGUGGCGAAGGCGGCUUUCUGGGACGGUACUGACGCUGAGACGCGAAAGCGUGGGGAGCGAACAGG